rnacentral:rRNA from 1 species
UACGAAGGGGGCUAGCGUUGUUCGGAAUUACUGGGCGUAAAGGGCGCGUAGGCGGUACUUCAAGUCAGGCGUGAAAGCCCCGGGCUCAACCUGGGAACUGCGUCCGAUACUGGAUGGCUUGAAUUCGGGAGAGGGAUGCAGAAUUCCAGGUGUAGCGGUGAAAUGCGUAGAUAUCUGGAGGAAUACCGGUGGCGAAGGCGGCAUCCUGGACCGAGAUUGACGCUGAUGAGCGAAAGCUAGGGGAGCAAACGGG